UGCAGGAGAGGCAGGCAGGGAGGGACGGAGGGAGCUGCUCCCUGCUGCUCUCUCCUCCCUUUGAGCUUCCUGGUGCUCUGCCCGUGUGGAGGCCUGAGGCAUGGGGACCAGGGCAUGGACGAUCUCCACGCUGCUGGGAUGCUGCGCCUGGAUUCUGCACGGGCUUGGGGCUGUUACUGCUGUCCCCGUCACCACCGACGGGUCCUUCACCGUGGGGACAGCCUUCCCCAUGACAACAGAGGAGGAGUGGCCCCAAACCACAGAGAGGAGUGCCACAGCAGCUGAUGCUGAGACCUUCCCUCCCUGGACUGAGAUGGACCCAGUGAUGGCGACGAGCAAGUACAGCCCUUCAGUGCCAGCUCUGGGGAACGAGACCAAGGCUCUGAACACGACUCAGAGUAAUGAGGGAAGAUCUGCUGCUCCCAAUAUGGCCACAACUGCUGCUGCCAUCACUGCGCAGCACCCCGUUGUCACCCCAGAAGCAGCACAGGAUGAACCAGAGGUCCCUCCUGAUGUCCCUCUCGGGACCACCUCUGUCCUUGAGGAUGUGAAGGAGGACAUCACUACAGACCCCAGUCCUGGCACUGCAUCCCUGCACAGCACCCCUCCCCUGGCAGUCACCUGGGUGCCACAGCCAACUGCUGGUGUCACUGUGCUGCCCGGCCAAGGGCUGAGCACUGCCCAGGGAGCAGUGCAGGAAGGUGAGAUCCUGCCUGAAGAUAUCCAAAGUGAAGCCAGUGCCAGCUCCUCGGGCUCCAGUCCUGGCACUGGGGAGCUGAUUCCAGCCCAGCCGGAUGGAGCAGUGGGUGGGGCUGAGGGCAUCAACCCAGGGGCAGCAGGAGAAACGGCCCCAGCUGGUGAGGAAAGUCCCUUGGCUUCAGAAUCUGGAGAUCCAGGAGACGCAAUAAAUGAUGAACUCAGCACAGCCAGCUCAUCCCACCUACCUGCAGAGAGCCCAGUGCUGUCAGGAACAGUGGAAAGCCCUGGGAAGUCCUCCCUACUCCCCAGCCCGGUCACUUCGCUGGCACCAUCCGAUGGUGGGGAUGGGGAUGGGGAUGGGCAGGGAGCUCCCGGGAUGCCAACAGACGCUCCUGGUUCAGCCUUACCGCCUGCACCAGCGGCACCCGAGGAAACAGAGGACGCUGCCACCUCCGUGCCGGCACCAGGGGCUCCCACUGCGGCACAGAGCAACACCAAUCUCCCGGUCUCGGCCGCUGCCCUGCCCGCAGGGGAUGUGGGAGCUGUGGAUCUGGCCAGUCCAUCCCUCCAGCCUGCCCCAUGGCAGACCCCCACUGGAGAGCAGCCACUGCUGCUUCCUGAUGCUCUGACAUCCCCCACAGACACCCCCAGUGCUCCUGGGGAUGCUCACCCAGCCCCAGAGGCUGGAGCCAGCGCCCUGCCCGACGCUGAUGCUGCAGCACAGACACCAGCAAGUCCUGACCUCGCCGCUGGCCCAGAAGCAGCAGUGUCUCCAUCUCCUGGGGAGUCACAGCCAGCUGGAGCUCCCCAGGAUGCUGAUGGACUUGGCACUGGCUUGAGUUCAGAUUCAGGUGCCCCCAGCUCAGCACCUUUUGUACCUGAUGGACUGGCAUGGCCCACUGCUGGGAUCCAGGGCCAGGGAGCUGAGGAGACAGGGGACCUGGCACUGGCAGAAGGGUCAGGGGAUGCCAGUCCCUAUGAAGAUACCCAGAGUGACACGAGUCCUCCAGCCCUUCAGCCCUCAGGAUCUCCUGCUGAUAAUGGAGAGCUGCUGACCGGAGGAACAGAAGACUUGGCAAAUGCUGAACUUUUGCCUCCAUCAGCACUUGGGGAUGGAACAGAAACAGGAGGAGCCCCAGCAUUGGGACAAGUGUCCUCACCUAGUUCUGCACCUCCCAGCAAUGCUGGAAUGGAGUCUGAUCUCUCAGGGCCUGAAGGACCAGGGGACCUGCCCAGUGAAUCUGCCGGUGCUCCUGGGGCUGUGUCCCCAGCCCUGGGGUCUGUCCCUGGCCCUGUGUCUGAGGCAGAGGCACCUGUGAGCCCUGACCUCAGUGCUGCCCAGGGAGCACCUGGGUCUCCAUCCUUUGGAGGGUCAGAGCCAUGGGGAGCAGCAGCUGGUGCUCCUGGGGCAGCAGGACUCCCUGGGGCCCAAGGGCCAGACACGGACUCGACUUCAGUGUGGGGUACCCCCAGCUCAGCAGCUCAUGAACCAGUGGGACCCCCCUCACCUGGC
ensembl:lncRNA